rnacentral:rRNA from 1 species
GAUGAACGCUGGCGGCGUGCCUAAUACAUGCAAGUCGAGCGAACGGACGAGAAGCUUGCUUCUCUGAUGUUAGCGGCGGACGGGUGAGUAACACGUGGAUAACCUACCUAUAAGACUGGGAUAACUUCGGGAAACCGGAGCUAAUACCGGAUAAUAUUUUGAAACUCAUGGUUCAAAAGUGAAAGACGGUCUUGCUGUCACUUAUAGAUGGAUCCGCGCUGCAUUAGCUAGUUGGUAAGGUAACGGCUUACCAAGGCAACGAUGCAUAGCCGACCUGAGAGGGUGAUCGGCCACACUGGAACUGAGACACGGUCCAGACUCCUACGGGAGGCAGCAGUAGGGAAUCUUCCGCAAUGGGCGAAAGCCUGACGGAGCAACGCCGCGUGAGUGAUGAAGGUCUUCGGAUCGUAAAACUCUGUUAUUAGGGAAGAACAUAUGUGUAAGUAACUGUGCACAUCUUGACGGUACCUAAUCAGAAAGCCACGGCUAACUACGUG